rnacentral:rRNA from 1 species
GCCAUGCAUGUCUCAGUACAUGCCGUAUUAAGGUGAAACCGCGAAUGGCUCAUUAAAUCAGUUAUGGUUCCUUAGAUCGUACCCACAUUUACUUGGAUAACUGUGGUAAUUCUAGAGCUAAUACAUGCAAACUAGAGUUCCGACCAGAGAUGGGAGGAACGCUUUUAUUAGAUCAAAACCAAUCGGUGGCGGGUUCGCUCGUCCAUCGUUUACCUUGGUGACUCUGAAUAACUUUGUGCUGAUCGCACGGUCUCGUACCGGCGACGCAUCUUUCAAAUGUCUGCCUUAUCAACUGUCGAUGGUAGGUUCUGCGCCUACCAUGGUUGUAACGGGUAACGGGGAAUCAGGGUUCGAUUCCGGAGAGGGAGCCUGAGAAACGGCUACCACAUCCAAGGAAGGCAGCAGGCGCGCAAAUUACCCACUCCCGGCACGGGGAGGUAGUGACGAAAAAUAACGAUACGGGACUCAUCCGAGGCCCCGUAAUCGGAAUGAGUACACUUUAAAUCCUUUAACGAGGAUCAAUUGGAGGGCAAGUCUGGUGCCAGCAGCCGCGGUAAUUCCAGCUCCAAUAGCGUAUAUUAAAGUUGUUGCGGUUAAAAAGCUCGUAGUUGAAUCUGUGUGUCACGAUGUUGGUUCACCGCUCGCGGUGUUUAACUAGCAUGCCGUGAGACGUCCUACCGGUGGGCUUAGCUCCUCACGGGGCGGUCCAACUAAUAUCCCAUCGCGGUGCUCUUCAUUGAGUGUCGAGGUGGGCCGGUACGUUUACUUUGAACAAAUUAGAGUGCUUAAAGCAGGCUAUCUUCGCCUGAAUACUGUGUGCAUGGAAUAAUGGAAUAGGACCUCGGUUCUAUUUUGUUGGUUUUCGGAACCCCGAGGUAAUGAUUAAUAGGGACAGAUGGGGGCAUUCGUAUUGCGACG